UACAGAGGUCCCGAGCGUUGUUCGGAUUCAUUGGGCGUAAAGGGUGCGUAGGCGGUCUGCUAAGUUUGAUGUGAAAUCCCGGGGCUCAACCCUGGAAUUGCAUUGAAUACUGGCGGACUAGAGUACUGGAGAGGAAACUGGAAUUUACGGUGUAGCAGUGAAAUGCGUAGAGAUCGGUAGGAACACCAAUGGCGAAGGCAGCUAGCUGGGCCAUUCUGACGCUAAGGCACGAAAGCGUGGGGAGCGAACAGG
rnacentral:rRNA from 1 species